CAGUCGCCGCGGGAAUACGAAGGGGGCUAGCGUUGCUCGGAAUUACUGGGCGUAAAGGGAGCAUAGGCGGGUCGUUUAGUCAGAGGUGAAAUCCCGGGGCUCAACCUCGGAACUGCCUUUGAUACUGGCGACCUUGAGUAUGGGAGAGGUAAGUGGAACUCCGAGUGUAGAGGUGAAAUUCGUAGAUAUUCGGAAGAACACCAGUGGCGAAGGCGACUUACUGGCCCAUUACUGACGCUGAGGCCCGAAAACGUGGGGAGCAAACAGGAUUAGAUACCCGCGUAGUCCCUGUCUCUUAUAC
rnacentral:rRNA from 1 species